GGCCUCCGGGUGCUUACCACAGGCUGUGUUCUAGCACUGACUGUGCAGAGUGAGCUCACCCCACGUACACCUCAGCCCAGGCCUUGUGCCUGGCCUGCACUGUGAAUGGGGAGACAUGG
rnacentral:snoRNA from 1 species